GGUGCUUCGAGCGAAGUGGCACCACUCCGAUUCCAUCUCGAACUCGGCUGUGAAACGCUUCUGCGGCGAAAAUACUUGGGGGGUUGCCCCCUGGGAAGAUAGCUCAGUGCCAGGU
rnacentral:rRNA from 1 species